CCUACGGGAGACAGCAGUGGGGAAUAUUGCACAAUGGGGGAAACCCUGAUGCAGCGACGCCGCGUGAGUGAAGAAGUAAUUCGUUAUGUAAAGCUCUAUCAGCAGGGAAGAAAAUGACGGUACCUGAGUAAGAAGCCCCGGCUAACUACGUGCCAGCAGCCGCGGUAAGACGUAGGGGGCAAGCGUUAUCCGGAUUUACUGGGUGUAAAGGGAGCGUAGACGGCAGUGCAAGUCUGGAGUGAAAGGCGGGGGCUCAACCCCCGGACUGCUCUGGAAACUGGACGGCUGGAGUGCAGGAGAGGUAAGUGGAAUGCCUAGUGUAGCGGUGAAAUGCGUAGAUAUUAGGAGGAACACCAGUGGCGAAGGCGGCUUACUGGACUGUAACUGACGUUGAGGCUCGAAAGCGUGGGGAGCAAACAGGAUUAGAUACCCUAGUAGUC
rnacentral:rRNA from 1 species